rnacentral:rRNA from 1 species
AUUUAGUGUCUUAUUAGUCUUUGUGUUUUUUUGUUUGUUUAUUUUAAGGAUAUUAUUUUUUAUUAUUUUUUAAUGAAAAAAUUGUUUUAAUUAUAGGUUAUAGUAUUGUGAAAGAAAGAAUGAAUAUUUUUAAAAGAAAAAUUAAUUUUUUGUACCUUUUGUAUCAGGGUUGAUUAAUUUAGUUUCAAUUAUUUGGUUUUCCCGAAUUUAAAAGAGCUAACUGAGAGUUUAUUUUAUUGUUGAAAAAAUAUUUAUAACUAUUGGUUUGUAAUGAAAUGUUAUUCGUUUUUAAAUUUAUCUGGUUUUUUAAGAAAUAAGUUUAAUUUAUUUUACUUUAAUAUGGGCCGAUUUUUUGGUUUGGUGUUUGAGUAAUUAAAGAUUCAAGGGGAUUAGCUUUUGAAUUAUAUUAUAAGUGUAUAUUUUGGAAUGGUUUAUAGGAUUAGAAUUUUCCAUUAUUAAUAGAAUGUUAUAAUUAAUCAUUUGGUUUUUGUUAUUUUUAUAUGUUUUAAAUUUUUUAUUGAAAUAGGAGCUUUAAUUUUUUGGGCUUGGUAAUAAUGAUUAAAUUAGUAUAAAUUUAUGUGUUUUGUUUUUAUAUAUUUAGGUUACAUUAAGGAAUUCGGCAAAUGAUUUUUCACCUGUUUAAUAAAAACAUGGCCUUUUGUUUAUGAUUUAAGGUCUGGCCUGCCCAAUGAUUAUUUAAAUGGCCGCAGUAUAUUGACUGUGCAAAGGUAGCAUAAUCAUUAGUUUCUUAAUUAGAAGCUGGAAUGAACGGUUUUAUGAAAAAAUGACUGUCUCUGUGUAAUUGGUUUAGAAUUUUAAUUUUAAGUGAGAAAGCUUAAAUUUUUUAUGAAGACGAGAAGACCCUAUAGAGUUUUACAUUAAUUUUAGUUAAAUAAUUUUGGAUUUUAUUUUAUUUAUUUAUUAUUAAUGUUUUGUUGGGGUGACAUUGAAAUUAAAUAAACUUUCAAUUUAUUAUUACAUUUGUUUAUGAGUAUUUGAUCCUGAUUUUUAGAUUAUAAGAUUAAAUUACCUUAGGGAUAACAGCGUAAUUUUUUUGGAGAGUUCUAAUCGAUAGAAAAGAUUGCGACCUCGAUGUUGGAUUAAAGUUAAAUUAUGGUGUAGAAGCUAUAGAUUUUAGGUCUGUUCGACCUUUAAAACUUUACAUGAUCUGAGUUUAAAUUUAUAAUACAUUUUUCAAAUUUAUAAUAAUUUAUGAUAUGAAGUAACGUUAGAAACAUUUUACGAUAUGA